UGUCCCACCUCUCUGUUCCGGCUCCCUCUGCGGACGCCGGUGCCGCCCGUGGUCGACGCACCUAUCAUCCGGCCGGGCAUGGCCGCCGGCACGGCGUCUGAAUCUCGCCAUCUUCACAGGAUCUGCGAAUACAGAUGGCCCGGAAACCUUCUCUAUUUGGCAGCGGACAGUGAUUUGGCGCAAAAGAAAAGCCGGAGGUGCGUGUGCUUUAUGAGCUCCUGAAUCACCUUUGUGGGCCAAUUGCAUCCUUCUUCCUCAUCACAAAAGCUACAAUCUUCCGUCCAUUGUAUGCAUGGACAGAAAUGAUGCAGAUGCAAUGAUGAAUAUAUUGGUCACCAGGGCAAAAAGAAGACUCUUAUUUUCCAUUCAUAGCAGUUCAACAUUGCUGCAAGGCAUGGACCAGAUCAAAGAAGUUUGGGGAGAGGCAAGAAGGCAAUGUAGGCCUGACCAUGUGCUUUGUCCUUGAGAUGCAUGUGGUAGUGCAGUUAUGGGUUGUGCAACUUCAGACUUCUCAGAGGUAUCUCAGAACCAGUGGAGUAGGCAUGGAUGAAAAAGGUAUCAAUCCAAUGAUCAAGAGAAGGAAAAGAAGUGUCCUUCAUGAUGCCUUGAGGAUGGUAGCACUUCUAAAUGCAGAACCUGACACAGUUGGUAUGUUUUUGAUCCAUCCCCCACUUCAGGAUUGGGAUGGGGUAACAUCAGGAUUCUCUUUACAUGCAUUGGAUCAUCGAGCAAAUGGGACUGGAGUGAGUAGUGCUGCAGAUUUCAGGAGUCCCUUUCGUUGCUGUUGUUCCCUCCAUGAAGACCUCAACUCUUCGGUAGAUUUAAAUAGAUGAAGGGAUGGCUUAAGGAGUCGGAAGCUGAGUGAAACAUUAGCCCUAUGGGAAUCUCAGGAGCUAAUGAUUUGGUGGGUCUUUGACAAGUGGACGGGUGCUCCUAGUUGGCCACAGCUGAUCCCCAGCAAUAAAGGCCUGAGCUUAAAUCUCCUUUUCAGAAAUCAUUCAUACAGCUUGCAGUAUCUCUCGGUGGCGCUGUCGUUGCCGUCCUCGCAUUCAAUUCCAACAAAUUCAUCGAUGCAGUACAGCGGCAGUAUAGAUUUCACUGUGACUCCUUCAGAAUCUUACCAGCCUUUUCCAGUUUUUGCCGUGGCAGAAGCGAAGCAGUAACUGGAACAGGUGCGGUCUGAAGGCGAGCAACAAGUACAUGGAGAGACAACAUAGCAAAGAUUUGUUUGUCUGGUUGUGUUUGUUGGGAGGGACAAAGUGGAUGGAUGCCUUGAAAUGCAUAGGCAGGAUGGUGG